UUUUAUAAAAGUGAUCCAACAAAGAAUUUCAGGAAAAUUUUAUAUCUUAUUAAAUCAAAUUAGAAAAAUAAACGAUUGAAACUAUAUAUCAUGCAACAUAAGAAAUGGAGAAGAAAAAAAGCGCUGUACAAAUCAGCUUACUAUCUUCUAUUACAGCAGUUACCGCUGUUGGAGAAGCAAAGCUGUAUAUUAAAGCCAGGUUAUUAAAUGGAAGUGUCAAAGGUUUGGUGCUGAACAUGGCUGAGGUUUGAAGUACUCUGCGAGGGCGAUCAUCGCAUCGAGAUGUUUCAUUAAACUAAGUUAGUCUCGUAAGCAUAUAUUUCUAUAAUAAAGCCUAGCGUCAGCGUUGUUAUAUAAUUAGCGCAGCAACCACGAACAAUAAAUACUGUUUCGUAUUUU